UCUCCUUCUCUCUCGACAGAAACCGAGUCUUCCAGAACACCUACCAGAUUCCUCGCAGGCAGCCCCUCUGCUCUCUUCCCCGGCGAACCCCUCUAAGUUCCUCGCCGGCAGCCGCUCCUAGAUUCCUCGCCGGCAGCCCCUCCCCUCCCUUCCCCGGCCACCGCCAGAGUUGGGCAAGAGUCCCUCCGCAUCUCUACUUUUGGAUCAGGCCGUGCAGGGCCAUCGGAGAUAGCAGCAGUUGCUACCAUGCCCGACCUCCAUCAUGCAGCCCUUUCUUCCUUGCUACCCAUGAAGCCUACCAACGACAGGACCAACAUGACCAUGAGUAUGCUCGAGCGAUUCAGGCGCGGAGGUUUUCUGCCGGCGCCAAGCUACUCGUUCCCAGCGGCGGCGAUGCCAAACUGCUAAUAUAGGACGAGCAGUAUGUGCGCUGUGGAUCUUUUCCAGUUUGCUUCAUGUUUGAUUAGGAGAACUGCAUGUGAUCAUUAAAGAAAAAGAAACAAGUACCAAGUCCUAAGCAACAUACAGAAAAGCAACCAAAACAAGACGAAGACAAGGGGCAACAUACAAAAAAGCGACCAAAACAAGACGAAGACAAGGGGCAACAUACAGAAAAGCAUCUGUAAUGUUUACCCCGGUUUUCCCUGUUACACUUGUAUCCAGCCGGUAUACGAGAUGCACGCCUCAGUCCGUCGUUUCUUUUCCGGACAGAAAUCAAUUGCGAUUGGUAAGAUACACCUGUAAGAUAAAUACCUCUGUAGAAUAUUACAUCGAUUCCAAGCGCAGAAGGACUUUAGGACAGAGAGGCAGCUUCGCAGGGGGGUCAACACGAGCAAGAUAAAUUAGUCAUGGAGCAGUCUUUAGUGAAGACUGAUCUAGAACUGGCAUACAUUUAUGAGUAUGUGCAAUUUUUUGGUGCGACUGAACUGGUCGUUUCUAAAAAAUAGCCAAAACUCGUUUCACUAUGCCACUACUGUUUUUGCAUAGAAUUAAUGUCUAUUUGGGUGGUGCCAAACUGCCAACAGAAGACGAGCUGUCUUCUCCUAAAAGAAUGACAAAAUUGUGUACCUGUAUGUUAUUUAGGGUCUGUAUUGCAUAUGACCUAGAGUUAUUUUCUGAAUAUGUUGACAUCACGUGGUAAUGUGUAUUCAGCUUAGUCAAGCAAUAUACCAUUCGAUUCCCUAGAGUGAGCAGCUAUAUUAAUAAUCAAACCA